CAGCUCACUUCAGCAGCACACAUACUACAACUGGAACAAGAAGAUCAGCAUGGCCCCUGCACAAGGAUGACAUGCAAAUUCAUGAAGCAUUCCAUAUUUUU
rnacentral:snRNA from 1 species